GGCUCGGGCAUCAAACGGCGGAAAUAGACGAGGGGCACCCCGGAUUAGCGGGGGAGAAUAUAUCGCUGAGCCGGCGGUCCGGAAUCGGCUGCUUGCCCGUAGCCGUAGUGGUUUUUCGGGACAGCUGCUGUUUUGAAGGUGACGGGCGUAUAUUCGCUGUUAGCCGGAGGACUAAUCACCAUAGAGAGUGGCGGAUGAGCUGCGCAGAGCGGUUAGAUCGGCACUUCCGCAUUUCUGGGCGCAUGUGUUUUGCCGCUGGCGGGACUCGGCGGCAGGCAGCGGCAGUUCCGCGCGUUGGCCACGCGGUGGCAGCAGAGACCACGGCAAGAACUUUUCUGCCGGAUCGAUGCCGGGAUUCGGCGGGAAACUUUGAGAUCACAGCCUGAAGCAGUGAUGGAGCACCUGGUGAGGGGUGCAGCCCUGCCUGCACAGGUGGAAGCAAUGCAGCCGUGGGGCAGAUGGGGCUGAGCCUGGCUCCAGCCCUCCCUCGCCUCAUUGAAGGGCUGGCAGCCCCACAGGCAGGGUUUCUUCCUGGAGAUUCCUCCUGUGGAUUGCUGGCUCCCUUUAGGUAUCGAAAGGCUGUUACCUGGUCGCCUUGGAGCCUUCGCUUCUCCGUGCUGAACAGCCCCAGCGCUCUCAACCUGUCCUUGGAGGAGAGCUGUUUGGUCCCUUGGUUCUGUUUUUUUUUUUCUGUGGCCAUCCUCUGAUGUGAUCCAACAGGUCCGUGUCUCUUUUGCACUGAGGACUCUACAUCCCGACAAAAUCUCUAGAUGUGGGAUUGUGCAGAAUAUGGACUCAGAUAAGGGAAGCCUCUUUACUUCACAAGUCCUACAGGAGCUGAUGAGAACUUUAGAAAUAAAGUGGGAGUUCCAUACUCUGUGGCAUCCCCCUUCUUCAGGGAAAGUAGAAUGAAUCAAUCAGAUGCUGAAGAAGCACUUGUCAAAAUUGGUUUCAGAGACCAAAUUACCAUGGACAAAGUGUUUGCCUGUAGCCCUUGUCAGAAUACGAACCACUCACAGAAAAGGCUUAGGAGUAUCACCACACGAAGUGCUGUUUGGGUGGCCGUACUUGGGAAGGAGGGGUGAGAUGCCCGCUCUUGAAACCAAGGUGCACUCAUCCCGUGUAGGAGGCUGGUCCUAAUAUGCAUCUGGAAGGAGUCAAAGCUUCAGCCCGAGUGGGAUGGAAUGGACCAUUUCAGCGAUGCAGUGUUUCAGAAGAGAGAAAAGCACGGCGGGCAUCAACUGGAUUUCUGUGGUUGGUGAAGCUGUGCUGAGAACUGGGCUGGCUGCUGACCCUGGAAAUGUGUCUGCAGACUUUGCACCCAGAGGAAUGACUUUUCCCUGCAGGUUGGGCUUGUCUAAGAUUUGAAAUGCUUAUUGCUAAUGGAAGAUGGAGAGAGGAAAAUCAAGUGAAAGGCACGCUGUGCACAGCCAGCACGUAGCAUCUGCACCACUCUCCCCCUGCACAAAGGAGGAGCAGCUCAGCAAGCUUGGCCUGGGCCAUGGAAAGCAGCACACAAACAUCUGGACCAACCCCAGCGGAGCUGCUUCUGCAGGAAUCCAUGUGGGUUUUUUAAUGAAGAACAGACUCAUUGUGCAGCUUGUGAGUGAAUUCAUUCACACCUGUUAAUUGGCAUUCUUCUCUACGUGGAGCUGCAAUUGCAAUGGAUGCUUGUGGUCUGAUGUGCAGCCCCCUCUGAUGUGCUCAGAUGAGCCAAGUUGGCAAGGCCUGGCUCUCGGUUGGUGAGUUGUGCCCAAGGUCAGAGAGGUGACUCUUGUCGGCUUUGAGACGCAUCUU